CAUUCAAUAAGCGGAGGAAAAGAAACUAACAAGGAUUCCCCUAGUAACUGCGAGUGAAGCGGGAAGAGCUCAAAUUUAAAAUCUGGCGGUUCUGCCGUCCGAGUUGUAAUCUGGAGAAGCGUUUUCUGUGCUGGACCGUGCAUAAGUGUCUUGGAAUAGGACGUCAUAGAGGGUGAGAAUCCCGUCUUUGGUACGGACUACCAGUGCUCUGUGAUACGCUCUCAAAGAGUCGAGUUGUUUGGGAAUGCAGCUCAAAAUGGGUGGUAAAUUCCAUCUAAAGCUAAAUAUAGGCGAGAGACCGAUAGCGAACAAGUACCGUGAGGGAAAGAUGAAAAGCACUUUGGAAAGAGAGUUAAACAGUACGUGAAAUUGUUGAAAGGGAAACGCUUGAAGUCAGUCGCGUUGUCCAGGACUCAACCUUAGUUCUCUUUGGUGUAUUUCCUGGUUAACGGGUCAACAUCAAUUUUGAUCGGUGGACAAAGGCAGUGGGAAUGUGGCACCCUCGGGUGUGUUAUAGCCCAUUGUUGUAUACACUGGUUGGGAUUGAGGAUAUCACGCCCUCGGCGGUAGGAUGUUGGCAUAAUGGCUUUAAGCGACCCGUCUUGAAACACGGACCAAGGAGUCUAACAUGCCUGCGAGUGUUAGGGUGGCAAACCCUUGCGCGUAAUGAAAGUGAAAGUUGGGACCUCUCUGAGGGCACCGACGCCCGGCCCUGAACUCUUGUGACGGUGCUGCGGUAGAGCAUGUAUGUUGGGACCCGAAAGAUGGUGAACUAUGCCUGAAUAGGGCGAAGCCAGAGGAAACUCUAGUGGAGGCUCGUAGCGAUUCUGACGUGCAAAUCGAUCGUCAAAUUUGGGUAUAGGGGCGAAAGACUAAUCGAACCAUCUAGUAGCUGGUCUGC
rnacentral:rRNA from 1 species